ACUUGAAUUGAAGAGUUUGAUCAUGGCUCAGAUUGAACGCUGGCGGCAGGCUUAACACAUGCAAGUCGAACGGUAACAGGAGAAAGCUUGCUUUCUUGCUGACGAGUGGCGGACGGGUGAGUAAUGCUUGGGAAUCUGGCUUAUGGAGGGGGAUAACGACGGGAAACUGUCGCUAAUACCGCGUAGUGUCGAGAGACGAAAGUGCGGGACUGAGAGGCCGCAUGCCAUAGGAUGAGCCCAAGUGGGAUUAGGUAGUUGGUGGGGUAAAGGCCUACCAAGCCUGCGAUCUCUAGCUGGUCUGAGAGGAUGACCAGCCACACUGGAACUGAGACACGGUCCAGACUCCUACGGGAGGCAGCAGUGGGGAAUAUUGCGCAAUGGGGGGAACCCUGACGCAGCCAUGCCGCGUGAAUGAAGAAGGCCUUCGGGUUGUAAAGUUCUUUCGGUAUUGAGGAAGGUUGAUGUGUUAAUAGCACAUCAAAUUGACGUUAAAUACAGAAGAAGCACCGGCUAACUCCGUGCCAGCAGCCGCGGUAAUACGGAGGGUGCGAGCGUUAAUCGGAAUAACUGGGCG
rnacentral:rRNA from 1 species